rnacentral:rRNA from 1 species
UACAGAGGGUGCAAGCGUUGUUCGGAAUUAUUGGGCGUAAAGGGCGCGUAGGCGGUUCGUACAGUCAGACGUGAAAUUCCUGGGCUCAACCUGGGGGCUGCGUUUGAUACGUAUGAUCUUGAGUGGGGAAGAGGGUCGUGGAAUUCCCAGUGUAGAGGUGAAAUUCGUAGAUAUUGGGAAGAACACCGGUGGCGAAGGCGGCGACCUGGUCCUUUUACUGACGCUGAGGCGCGAAAGCGUGGGGAGCAAACAGG